GGUAUCAGAAGUGCGAAUGCUGACAUAAGUAACGAUAAAGCGGGUGAAAAGCCCGCUCGCCGGAAGACCAAGGGUUCCUGUCCAACGUUAAUCGGGGCAGGGUGAGUCGACCCCUAAGGCGAGGCCGAAAGGCGUAGUCGAUGGGAAACGGGUUAAUAUUCCCGUACUUGGUGUUACUGCGAAGGGGGGACGGAGAAGGCUAUGUUGGCCGGGCGACGGUUGUCCCGGUUUAAGCGUGUAGGUGUGUGUUCCAGGUAAAUCCGGUUCACUUUAACACUGAGGCGUGAUGACGAGGCACUACGGUGCUGAAGCAACAAAUGCCCUGCUUCCAGGAAAAGCCUCUAAGCAUCAGGUAACAUCAAAUCGUACCCCAAACCGACACAGGUGGUCAGGUAGAGAAUACCAAGGCGCUUGAGAGAACUCGGGUGAAGGAACUAGGCAAAAUGGUGCCGUAACUUCGGGAGAAGGCACGCUGACAUGUAGGUGAAGUGAUUUACUCAUGGAGCUGAAGUCAGUCGAAGAUACCAGCUGGCUGCAACUGUUUAUUAAAAACACAGCACUGUGCAAACACGAAAGUGGACGUAUACGGUGUGACGCCUGCCCGGUGCCGGAAGGUUAAUUGAUGGGGUCAGCGCAAGCGAAGCUCCUGAUCGAAGCCCCGGUAAACGGCGGCCGUAACUAUAACGGUCCUAAGGUAGCGAAAUUCCUUGUCGGGUAAGUUCCGACCUGCACGAAUGGCGUAAUGAUGGCCAGGCUGUCUCCACCCGAGACUCAGUGAAAUUGAACUCGCUGUGAAGAUGCAGUGUACCCGCGGCAAGACGGAAAGACCCCGUGAACCUUUACUAUAGCUUGACACUGAACAUUGAGCCUUGAUGUGUAGGAUAGGUGGGAGGCUUUGAAGUGUGGACGCCAGUCUGCAUGGAGCCGACCUUGAAAUACCACCCUUUAAUGUUUGAUGUUCUAACGUGGACCCGUAAUCCGGGUUGCGGACAGUGUCUGGUGGGUAGUUUGACUGGGGCGGUCUCCUCCUAAAGAGUAACGGAGGAGCACGAAGGUUGGCUAAUCCUGGUCGGACAUCAGGAGGUUAGUGCAAUGGCAUAAGCCAGCUUGACUGCGAGCGUGACGGCGCGAGCAGGUGCGAAAGCAGGUCAUAGUGAUCCGGUGGUUCUGAAUGGAAGGGCCAUCGCUCAACGGAUAAAAGGUACUCCGGGGAUAACAGGCUGAUACCGCCCAAGAGUUCAUAUCGACGGCGGUGUUUGGCACCUCGAUGUCGGCUCAUCACAUCCUGGGGCUGAAGUAGGUCCCAAGGGUAUGGCUGUUCGCCAUUUAAAGUGGUACGCGAGCUGGGUUUAGAACGUCGUGAGACAGUUCGGUCCCUAUCUGCCGUGGGCGCUGGAGAACUGAGGGGGGCUGCUCCUAGUACGAGAGGACCGGAGUGGACGCAUCACUGGUGUUCGGGUUGUCAUGCCAAUGGCACUGCCCGGUAGCUAAAUGCGGAAGAGAUAAGUGCUGAAAGCAUCUAAGCACGAAACUUGCCCCGAGAUGAGUUCU
rnacentral:rRNA from 2 species